rnacentral:rRNA from 1 species
UACGGAGGGGACUAGCGUUGUUCGGAAUUACUGGGCGUAAAGCGCACGUAGGCGGAUUUGUAAGUCAGGGGUGAAAUCCCGGAGCUCAACUUCGGAACUGCCUUUGAUACUGACGGUCUUGAGUCCGGGAGAGGUGAGUGGAACUCCGAGUGUAGAGGUGAAAUUCGUAGAUAUUCGGAAGAACACCAGUGGCGAAGGCGGCUCACUGGCCCGGUACUGACGCUGAGGUGCGAAAGCGUGGGGAGCAAACAGG